UCUCCGUAGGUGAACCUGCGGAGGGAUCAUUACUGAGUGAGGGCUUCGGUCCGACCUCCAACCCUUUGUGAACCAAACUUGUUGCUUCGGGGGCGACCCUGCCGACGACUUCGUCGCCGGGCGCCCCCGGAGGUCUUCUAAACACUGCAUCUUUGCGUCGGAGUAUUGAAAGCAAAUCAAUCAAAACUUUCAACAACGGAUCUCUUGGUUCUGGCAUCGAUGAAGAACGCAGC
rnacentral:misc_RNA from 1 species